rnacentral:rRNA from 1 species
AUGGAUCCCCAGACAUUUGUGAGGCUCUCAGUCGGGCAGCUUGGCCUGAGGCUCCCCGGCGCAAGUGCCAGAAAGGCUUGCCACUGCGAGAUCCGGCUCCGAGGCUUCCCGGUUCAGUUAGCUCCGGUGCCUCUGGAAAAUUCUUCAGAGUUUCAUCUUGAUCCGCACGCGAAUGCGGCGGUGUUCUCCCUGGACGAGCCCGGCCUCAAGGCGCUGCCGACGUCGAGGUGGUUCCGAACCCCGGAGCCGCCGUACCUCGAGAUCGUUGUGUACGUGAGCAGGCGCGACGGCGGCGGGCAUUGCGUCGGGUUGAAGCGGCGGCUGGUCGGGGCUGUCAGGGUGGAUGUCGGGCCGGAGUGGCGCGACGGCAAGCCUGUGCUGCUUCGCCAUGGCUGGACGGGCAUCGGCAGGGCGGCGGAGCUGCACGUGAGAGUGAGGGUGGAGGCUGACCCUCGGUACGUGUUCCGGUUCGAGGACGAGGUCGCGCUGAACCCGCAGGUGGUCCAGCUCCAUGGCGGCGCCAGCCAGCCCAUCUUUAGCUGCAAGUUCAUCCGCGACGUGAGGCGGGCGUCGCAGCCGGAUCAUUUGGGCGGGAAGUAUUGGUCGAGCUCCGGAAGCGGCGAAGAGAAGGAGACGGAGAUGGCGGGGAGGAGGAGGGAGAGGAAGGGCUGGAAGGUGGCGAUCCACGACCUGUCCGGCUCCGCCGUGGCCGCGGCGUUCAUGGCCACGCCGUUCGUGCCGGCGACGGGCUCCGACACGGUGGCGCGGUCCAACCCAGGCGCGUGGCUCAUCGUCCGCGCCGACACAACGGGAUCGUCGGAGAGCUGGCAGCCGUGGGGCCGGCUGGAGGCGUGGCGGGAGUGCGCUGCGCCGGCGGGCGGCAAGGACGCCGUGUGCCUUCGGCUGCAUCUCCUCCCGGAGCGGCGGGACGCGUGCGUACUCGUGUCCGAGACGCCUCUGAGCUGUGAUAAGGGCGGGGAGUUCUCCAUCGACAUGGACAGACAGUCGAUCCUCCCGGAGGACGCAGUGGCGUCGGAGACGACGUCGUCGUCGUACUGCGCAGCGAGCAUGGGACAGUCGUGCGCGGGCGGCGGCUUCGUGAUGAGCUGCAGCGUGCAGGGCGAGGCGGCGACGAGCAGCAGGCCGCCGCUGGUGCACCUCGCCGCGCGGCACGUCAUGUGCAUGGAAGACGCAGCCAUGUUCCUCGCGCUUGCGGCUGCCGUCGACCUCAGUGUCAAGGCGUGCCGGCCGUUCCGGAGCAAGACGGCGGCGGCUAAGAAGAAGACGGCUGCUGGCUCCUCUUCCCCCGAUCCCCUGGAGCUCGACACGUAG